AAGCAGCCUUCGGUUCUGCCACCGAAUACAUUAGCAUGGGAUAAUGGAAUAGGACCCUGUCCUCCUAUUUUCAGUUGGUUUAGGCAGCGCGAGGACUAGGGUAAUGAUUAAUAGGGAUAGUUGGGGGCAUUAAUAUUUAAUUGUCAGAGGUGAAAUUCUUGGAUUUAUGAAAGAUUAACUUCUGCGAAAGCAUCUGCCAAGGAUGUUUUCAUUAAUCAAGAACGAAAGUUAGGGGAUCGAAGACGAUCAGAUACCGUCGUAGUCUUAACCAUAAACGAUGCCGACCAGCGAUUAGGAGACGUUGAAUACAAAACACCGCACAUCGGGGUUCGCGUCUCGGUCCCUCUGGGGCGUCCGGUGUUUUCGGGGGGCCGGCCGCGUGGGGACGUCGCGUAAGCACGGGUGAGCCACCGGUUAUACACUGUAUCCUCCACGUUUAGCACGCAUUUGUGAAGACAAAG
rnacentral:rRNA from 1 species